rnacentral:rRNA from 1 species
GAUGAACGCUGGCGGCGUGCCUAAUACAUGCAAGUCGAGCGAACAGACGAGGAGCUUGCUCCUCUGACGUUAGCGGCGGACGGGUGAGUAACACGUGGAUAACCUACCUAUAAGACUGGGAUAACUUCGGGAAACCGGAUCUAAUACCGGAUAAUAUAUUGAACCGCAUGGUUCAAUAGUGAAAGACGGUUUUGCUGUCACUUAUAGAUGGAUCCGCGCCGCAUUAGCUAGUUGGUAAGGUAACGGCUUACCAAGGCAACGAUGCGUAGCCGACCUGAGAGGGUGAUCAGCCACACUGGAACUGAGACACGGUCCAGACUCCUACGGGAGGCAGCAGUAGGGAAUCUUCCGCAAAGGGCGAAAGCCUGACGGAGCAACGCCGCGUGAGUGAUGAAGGUCUUCGGAUCGUAAAACUCUGUUAUUAGGGAAGAACAAAUGUGUAAGUAACUAUGCACGUCUUGACGGUACCUAAUCAGAAAGCCACGGCUAACUACGUG